rnacentral:misc_RNA from 1 species
AACGCACAUGGCGCCUCCUAGUAUCCUGGGAGGCAUGCCUGUCCGAGCGUCGUUUCAACCCUCGGUUUAUUACCGGUGUUGGGGUUCCACGCCACGCGUGGUCCCUGAAAAUCAGCGGCAGACCCACGGCGGCCCGCCCCUUGCGUAGUAGCAUCAGCCUCGCAUCGGGAGCCCCUGGCGCCUAGCCGUCAAAACCCCCUACAAGCCCGCUCACAGCGGCACAUGGUUGACCUCGGAUCAGGUAGGAAUACCCGCUGAACUUAA